rnacentral:rRNA from 1 species
UAGGGAAUUUUGGGCAAUGGGCGAAAGCCUGACCCAGCAACGCCGCGUGUGGGAUGAAGGCCCUCGGGUCGUAAACCACUGUCAGGAGGAAAGAAAAGUCGGCCGGAUAAUACUCGGUCGACCUGACGGUACCUCCAAAGGAAGCACCGGCUAACUCCGUGCCAGCAGCCGCGGUAAUACGGAGGGUGCAAGCGUUGUUCGGAAUUACUGGGCGUAAAGCGCGUGUAGGUGGUCGAGUAAGUCGAAUGUGAAAGCCCCGGGCUCAACCCGGGAAGUGCAUCCGAAACUGCUCGACUAGAGUCCCGGAGAGGAAGGCAGAAUUCCCAAUGUAGGGGUGAAAUCCGUAGAUAUUGGGAGGAAUACCGGUGGCGAAGGCGGCCUUCUGGACGGUGACUGACACUCAGACGCGAAAGCGUGGGGAGCAAACAGGAUUAGAUACCCAAGUAGUCCCUGAGCGGGCUGGCAAGGCGCAU